CAGGGCCGAUCCAAUGGGUUCUCGCUUGCAAAAUAAUGUUUUAAUGUGUGAGAGCUCAAUUUCACCCGGCCUAUAUUUUGGGGCAGCUUCCUUCUCCUCCUCUUCUUUUACAUGCUUUCUCUUUAGUGUCUAGAUUUGGAGAAUAUGCCCAACAUUCAUUUUUUUUUCUUUAAUAUUUUACGUGUAUACACUUGAAUGUCGUUGUAGUUGUAAAUAUUAUAUCUUUCUUCUCUUUGGAUAAUCACGAAAUUUUACGAAAAUAAAAUAAAAUAUUUUGUCUUAAUUUAAUAUUAUUUUUUAAUCUAUAAAUAUUUUUUAAAUAAUUAUUUUUUUGUAAUUUUUAAUAAAAGAUUAUUUUUAAGGAAUUAUAUAAUGUGAUGAAGAAUGUGAGAUUAAUAAUUUUUUUUGUUUUUUUUAUGGG
rnacentral:lncRNA from 1 species